UACGGGGGGGGCAAGCGUUGUUCGGAAUUACUGGGCGUAAAGGGCUUGUAGGUGGCCAACUAAGUCAGACGUGAAAUCCCUCAGCUUAACUGGGGAACUGCGUCUGAUACUGGAUGGCUUGAGUUUGGGAGAGGGAUGCGGAAUUCCAGGUGUAGCGGUGAAAUGCGUAGAUAUCUGGAGGAACACCGGUGGCGAAGGCGGCAUCCUGGACCAAUUCUGACACUGAGGAGCGAAAGCCAGGGGAGCAAACGGG
rnacentral:rRNA from 1 species